AUUAAAUUUUAUUAGUUAAACUAUUUGCUAUGGAUUUGGAUUAUUGCAUUGGUCAGUUAAUUAUCAUUACACACUGUCCCUACAGGUGAUUCACUUGACAAGUGCACUGGAUAACGGAUAACAGCAUUGACUCCCGAAGAUAAACUGUUAUCAGAGGCUUAAUACUCUUCCUUGGUAAAAAGACAGAGUUUAUCAAGGACUACCAGGUUUGAGAUGACUGCGAUUCCAUAACCAUUCAAGAGC